GAUGAACGCUGGCGGCGUGCUUAACACAUGCAAGUCGAACGGAAAGGCCGAAGCUUGCUUCGGUACUCGAGUGGCGAACGGGUGAGUAACACGUGGGUGAUCUGCCCUGUACUUCGGGAUAAGCUUGGGAAACUGGGUCUAAUACCGGAUAUGACGAUCUCUUGGAUGGGGUUGUGGAAAGCUUUUGCGGUGUGGGAUGAGCUCGCGGCCUAUAAGCGUGUUGGUGGGGUGAUGGCCUACCAAGGCGUCGACGGGUAGCCGGCCUGAGAGGGGGUACGGCCACAUUGGGACUGAGAUAUGGCCCAGACUCCUACGGGGGGCAGCAAUGGGGAAUAUUGCACAAUGGGCGCAAGCCUGAUGCAGCGACGCCGCGUGGGGGAUGACGGCCUUCGGGUUGUAAACUCCUUUCGCAAUCGACGAAGCCUUUUGGUGACGGUAGGUUGAGAAGAAGCACCGGCUAACUACGUG
rnacentral:rRNA from 1 species